ACUCAAAGGAAUUGACGGGGGCCCGCACAAGCGGUGGAGCAUGUGGUUUAAUUCGAUGCAACGCGAAAAACCUUACCUACCUUUGAAUCCACGGAAUCCUCUAGAGAUAGAGGAGUGCCUUAGGGAACCGUGAGACAGAUGCUGCAUGGCUGUCGUCAGCUCGUGUUGUGAGAUGUUGGGUUAAGUCCCGUAACGAGCGCAACCCUUAUCCUUAGUUACCAGCGAGUCAUGUCGGGGACUUUAAGGACACUGCCGGUGAUAAACCGGAGGAAGGUGGGGACGAUGUCAAGUCAUCAUGGCUCUUACAGGUAGGGCUACACACGUGCUACAAUGGCCGGUACAAAGGGUUGCCAACCCGCGAGGGGGAGCUAAUCUCAUAAAGCCGGUCUUAGUCCGGAUUGGAGUCUGCAACUCGACUCCAUGAAGCUGGAAUCGCUAGUAAUCGUGGAUCAGCAUGUCACGGUGAAUACGUUCCCGGGCCUUGCACACACCGCCCGU
rnacentral:rRNA from 1 species